rnacentral:rRNA from 1 species
UAAAGCUUCAAACUGGGAUUAGAUACCCCACUAUUCUUGGAUAUAAAAAGGUAUAUGUAUUUACCGGAGUACUAUGGAUUGCUUACAUUUAAAACUCAAAGAGCUUGGCGGUGUUUUAGACUUUUUAGGGGAACCUGUCUCAUAAUCGACAAUCCACGUAAAACCUGACCUUUAUUUGCUCUCAGUUUGUAUACCGUCGUCGUCAGGUAACUUUUUAGAAAAAAGAAGUUAGCAACUGAGUUUACUAUAAACUCUUACGUCAGAUCAAGGUGCAGCUUAUAUAAUGGGGAGGAUGGGUUACAAUUAUAAAAGUUAUAACUACGAAAUAACAACUUUAAAUGAAGUUAUGAAGGAGGACUUAAAAGUAAAAUAGAAUAGAUAAAUAUAUUGAAUUAGGCUCUGAAACGUGCACACACCGCCCGUCACCCUCUGCAGUCAA